rnacentral:rRNA from 1 species
GCACUGUUUCGGCUAGGGGGCCAUCCCGGCUUACCAACCCGAUGCAAACUGCGAAUACCGGAGAAUGUUAUCACGGGAGACACACGGCGGGUGCUAACGUCCGUCGUGAAGAGGGAAACAACCCAGACCGCCAGCUAAGGUCCCAAAGUCAUGGUUAAGUGGGAAACGAUGUGGGAAGGCCCAGACAGCCAGGAUGUUGGCUUAGAAGCAGCCAUCAUUUAAAGAAAGCGUAAUAGCUCACUGGUCGAGUCGGCCUGCGCGGAAGAUGUAACGGGGCUAAACCAUGCACCGAAGCUGCGGCAGCGACGCUGAUGCGUUGUUGGGUAGGGGAGCGUUCUGUAAGCCUGCGAAGGUGGCCUGUGAGGGUUGCUGGAGGUAUCAGAAGUGCGAAUGCUGACAUAAGUAACGAUAAAGCGGGUGAAAAGCCCGCUCGCCGGAAGACCAAGGGUUCCUGUCCAACGUUAAUCGGGGCAGGGUGAGUCGACCCCUAAGGCGAGGCCGAAAGGCGUAGUCGAUGGGAAACGGGUUAAUAUUCCCGUACUUGGUGUUACUGCGAAGGGGGGACGGAGAAGGCUAUGUUGGCCGGGCGACGGUU